AGAGUUUGAUCCUGGCUCAGGACGAACGCUGGCGGCGUGCUUAACACAUGCAAGUCGAACGGGAGGAAAAGAGAAGCUUGCUUCUUUUUGAAUCUAGUGGCAAACGGGUGAGUAACACGUAAACAACCUGCCUUCAGGAUGGGGACAACAGACGGAAACGACUGCUAAUACCGAAUGUGUUCCGGAGACCGCAUGAUUUCCGGAAGAAAGGAUGGCCUCUAUUUAUAAGCUAUCGCCUGAAGAGGGGUUUGCGUCUGAUUAGGCAGUUGGUGAGGUAACGGCCCACCAAACCUACGAUCAGUAGCCGGUCUGAGAGGAUGAACGGCCACACUGGAACUGAGACACGGUCCAGACUCCUACGGGAGGCAGCAGUGGGGAAUCUUCCGCAAUGGACGAAAGUCUGACGGAGCAACGCCGCGUGAGUGAUGAAGGAUUUCGGUCUGUAAAGCUCUGUUGUUUAUGACGAACGUGCAGUGUGUGAACAAUGCAUUGCAAUGACGGUAGUAAACGAGGAAGCCACGGCUAACUACGUGCCAGCAGCCGCGGUAAUACGUAGGUGGCGAGCGUUGUCCGGAAUUAUUGGGCGUAAAGAGCAUGUAGGCGGCUUAAUAAGUCGAGCGUGAAAAUGCGGGGCUCAACCCCGUAUGGCGCUGGAAACUGUUAGGCUUGAGUGCAGGAGAGGAAAGGGGAAUUCCCAGUGUAGCGGUGAAAUGCGUAGAUAUUGGGAGGAACACCAGUGGCGAAGGCGCCUUUCUGGACUGUGUCUGACGCUGAGAUGCGAAAGCCAGGGUAGCGAACGGGAUUAGAUACCCCGGUAGUCCUGGCCGUAAACGAUGGGUACUAGGUGUAGGAGGUAUCGACCCCUUCUGUGCCGGAGUUAACGCAAUAAGUACCCCGCCUGGGGAGUACGGCCGCAAGGUUGAAACUCAAAGGAAUUGACGGGGGCCCGCACAAGCGGUGGAGUAUGUG
rnacentral:rRNA from 1 species